rnacentral:rRNA from 1 species
UACGGGGGGGGGCAAGCGUUGUUCGGAAUUACUGGGCGUAAAGGGCCAGUAGGCGGCCAACUAAGUCGGACGUGAAAUCCCUCAGCUUAACUGGGGAACUGCGUCCGAUACUGGAUGGCUUGGAUUCGGGAGAGGGAUGCGGAAUUCCAGGUGUAGCGGUGAAAUGCGUAGAUAUCUGGAGGAACACCGGUGGCGAAGGCGGCAUCCUGGACCGAUAUUGACGCUGAGGAGCGAAAGCCAGGGGAGCAAAACGGGG